CCUACGGGAGGCAGCAGUGGGGAAUAUUGCGCAAUGGGCGAAAGCCUGACGCAGCGACGCCGCGUGAGGGAUGAAGGUCUUCGGAUCGUAAACCUCUGUCAGCAGGGAAGAACGGUCACUGUGCUAAUCAGCAGUGAAUUGACGGUACCUGCAAAGGAAGCACCGGCUAACUCCGUGCCAGCAGCCGCGGUAAUACGGAGGGUGGGAGCGUUAAUCGGAAUUACUGGGCGUAAAGGGCUCGUAGGCGGUAUGUCAAGUCAAGGGUGAAAUCCCCGGGCUCAACGUGGGAACUGCCUUUGAAACUGGGAAACUGGAGGGUGGGAGAGGUUAGUGGAAUUCCAGGUGUAGGGGUGAAAUGCGUAGAUAUCUGGAGGAACAUCAGUGGCGAAGGCGACUAUCUGGCACAUAACUGACGCUGAGGAGCGAAAGCGUGGGUAGCAAACAGGAUUAGAUACCCUAGUAGUC
rnacentral:rRNA from 1 species